rnacentral:rRNA from 1 species
AGAGUUUGAUCAUGGCUCAUAGUGAACGCUGGCGGCGUGGAUUAGGCAUGCAAGUCGAGCGAUAUUUCAGGUAGAGAGGCGGAAACCGCAAGGCGACUGCCAAUUUGCCUGAUUUAUAGCGGCAGACUGGUGAGUGACACGUGAGUAAUUUACCUCUAAGCCGUGAAUAGCCUCGCGAAAGCGAGGGUAAAACACGAUGUGUUUACACAGGCGCAGGCCCGUGUAAGUAAAAGUGGCCCGCAAGGGCUAUUGCUUAGAGAUGAGCUCGCGUCCUAUCAGCUAGUUGGUAGGGUAAUGGCCUACCAAGGCUUUUGACGGGUAGCUGGCCUGAGAGGGUGGUCAGCCACACGGGGACUGAGACACUGCCCCGACUCCUACGGGAGGCUGCAGUCGAGGAUCUUUAGCAAUGGGCGAAAGCCUGACUAUGCGACGCCGCGUGAGGGAUGAAGUAUUUCGGUACGUAAACCUCUUUCGAUAGGGAAGAAAUGCCCUGACACUAACAUUGUCAGGGUUUGACGGUACCUAGAGAAGAAGCCACGGCCAACUCCGUGCCAGCAGCCGCGGUAAUA